CCUACGGGAGGCAGCAGUGAGGAAUAUUGGUCAAUGGCCGGAAGGCUGAACCAGCCAUGCCGCGUGAAGGUCAGUGCCCUAUGGGCGUUAAACUUCUUUUGUGCGGGAGCAAUAAUGGUCACGUGUGGCCAGACGAGAGUACCUCAUGAAUAAGCCACGGCUAACUACGUGCCAGCAGCCGCGGUAAUACGUAGGUGGCAAGCGUUAUCCGGAUUUACUGGGUGUAAAGGGCGUGUAGGCGGGACUGCAAGUCAGAUGUGAAAAUUAUGGGCUCAACCCAUAACCUGCAUUUGAAACUGUAGUUCUUGAGUGAGGGAGAGGCAGGCGGAAUUCCGGGUGUAGCGGUGAAAUGCGUAGAUAUACGGAGGAACACCAGUGGCGAAGGCGGCCUGCUGGACAUUAACUGACGCUGAGGCGCGAAAGCGUGGGGAGCAAACAGGAUUAGAUACCCUGGUAGUC
rnacentral:rRNA from 1 species